GAAAAGUAUUGUGCAAGACCACACAGCGAGUGGAUAGUAGAGGGGUGCUUCAAACCAGCAGUGUUUGCCUCCAAGAUCUGCGUGAUUCCUCAAACUCCAGUCAGGUCUCCCUGGUCACCGCUGCUCCUUGCAGAGGUCUCAUCAAACGCCUGGUCUGCCUGCACCAUGCAGCCUGGAAGCCCCUGACCCAUCGCCAGCUCCUACCGUCACCCGUGAGGUCCAAUAUGGUGUCGUCCUCCCCUCGAUCAUCAGAAACCAUCGCUCUGUAAAUUCCCUUGUCCUUUUUGGACAACUGGAAAGAAGGAUGAGCGAUGGUGGUGUCAGCAUGGGCUCCAGAAGAAGAGAUGGAUACCAAAUCCGGAGGCCUGGGCUCCAGGCCUGCCCCUCAUUCUCUGUGUGACCUCAGGGCCUCACUUGCAUCAACCUAGCCUCAGCCCUGCCCUGACUCCCAGCCCAGAGCUCUUGGCCCUGCCUGGCUUGCAGCCAAAGGAGAAAGUGAGCCCUGAAGCUGGAGCCACACUUGCCUCUUCAAUGCAGAGAAGUCCCGUUCCCGUCUCUGGGUCAUACUGACCAUCUGACAUCUCUGCCCUCUGGAAGAACCACUGAAAGCGAGUCUCCUUCUUGGUGUUGGUCACCUGGGGAAGGUGGGGAAUGAGGAGACUCUGUCAGGCUUGUUUCUUUUUGAGUAAAAACACACCUGUGCACACUUUCAGGCAUCUCAGUGGAGUCCUUUCACGUACCAUAUGUCUCCUCUGCUGGCCUCUGGACUCUGAAUUCUUGCUAAUGGUUUUCCC